UGCGGUGACGAUAUCGUGAGGGAUCCACCCGUUCUCAUUCCGAACACGGAAGUUAAGACUCAUGGAGCCGAUGGUACUUGUCUGGCAACGGGCCGGGAGAGUAGGAAAUCGCCGCAU
rnacentral:rRNA from 1 species